GGUUUUUAGCUUUUGAGGCCUUCCAACACACGUCAGGCUCUUUAAUUUACUUCUAGUAUUUGUUUUCUGCUUACAACUCAAUACCUCUGUAAAUUGGGAUUUCAUCAUUUUCACCUUCGGAAUUUGAUCAUGGCGGCAACUGCUCACAAUAAUCUCAAUGCAAAACUCGUGUUGUUGGGGGACAUGGGAGCUGGUAAAUCAAGCUUGGUUAUACGAUUCGUCAAGGGACAAUUCCUUGAAUUCCAAGAAUCGACGAUCGGAGCGGCUUUCUUUUCCUCUACUGUUUCGGUUAACAAUUCUACGGUGAAGUUUGAGAUCUGGGAUACUGCUGGUCAGGAGAGGUACCAUAGCUUAGCGCCUAUGUACUACAGGGGUGCUGCAGCUGCUAUCAUCGUCUAUGACAUCACCAGCACUGAUUCAUUUGCACGGGCAAAGAAAUGGGUGCAAGAAUUGCAGAAGCAAGGUAAUCCGAAUAUGGUAAUGGCUCUUGCUGGCAAUAAGGCUGAUCUAGAAGAUAAGAGGAAGGUGACUGCAGAAGAAGCACACUUGUACGCAGAGGAAAAUGGCCUAUUUUUCAUGGAAACCUCUGCCAAAACUGCUGUUAAUGUCAACGAUAUAUUUUACGAAAUCGGAAUUGCAGUUCCAGAAAUCUGGACUUGAGAAUAAAAGGACUGGACAAUCUUAAUUUAUGUCCGCUUUAGUAGUUUGAAAAACAUGUAUAUAAUCUCUUAAAGCUAAACGAUUGCCUAGAGCUCAGCCUGCUCAAAAUCCGGCAGGAAUGGUACUUGUUGACAGAACAGCAGAAGGAUCGCGAACUGCAUCAUGCUGCAGUUAAGUAUUAUCAUCUCCAUCGCUCCAUUGAUUUCGUGAAACUGGAAACAUUUCUUUGCUCUUCAUGUUGUGCUGUUAUGGGAGUUGAAGACGGGAAAUGUGGAGUCAUGUUUAUUGGGAGAUUUACAAUAGAAUAUGUAUGUAAACUGUAUUUAAAAGCGCCAUAUCUGAGAUGAUUCUCCUUUGUUCAUUUAAUCUGUAUAUAGUUUGAAUUUCCACCCAAACCAAUUUAUCUUGAUAACUGGACGUUGUUACUCCCCAAAAAUAAUGGUUUAGGUGAAUAAGAUUUGCCCAAUUUAGUUGUUGGAGCAUAAGAAUUUCAAAUGUUUAUUAUGGA